rnacentral:rRNA from 1 species
UACGUAGGUGGCGAGCGUUAUCCGGAAUUAUUGGGCGUAAAGAGCGCGCAGGUGGUUGAUUAAGUCUGAUGUGAAAGCCCACGGCUUAACCGUGGAGGGUCAUUGGAAACUGGUCAACUUGAGUGCAGAAGAGGGAAGUGGAAUUCCAUGUGUAGCGGUGAAAUGCGUAGAGAUAUGGAGGAACACCAGUGGCGAAGGCGGCUUCCUGGUCUGUAACUGACACUGAGGCGCGAAAGCGUGGGGAGCAAACAGGAUUAGAUACCCCU